AAUCAUGUAACUUGUAAACUAUAUUGGGCAGUCCCUAUUUUUUGGUGCCAACUAUGAUUAUGAAUUCAAGGCUGACCUAAUGCAAUCUGGGCGGUAUAAUCUCAUACAAAUGUAAGCACAUUCAUUUAAAAUAAAGCACAAUCUAUAAAAUCAUCGAAUCAUCUACUUAUGACCAGCAAAGUAAUCUCUGCAAAUCUGCAUUCCAAAUAACAGCGAAUUUGCUCAGGGCUUCAUUUAGGGCAGCGACUUCAAGACUAAGAUCAGUGAACUUUUCUAGGGCUAGUGAAUUCAUCCUCAAGGCCAGCGAACUGCUCCUAGGGUGAUUUCAUUUUUUUUACAUCGGAUUGAGAAUCAAUUAGAUCUAUAAAAUCAACAUGGUAUUAGAGCGGGUUGAUUGUAUCAAACAAGAUUAUCACAGAUUAUGGUCUAAGAGUCAAAUUGAUGCAAUUGCUACUGGCCAUCAAGUCUCCUUUCCCUGGGUCAUGGCUCUAACAGUAACCUUUUUGGUGAGAAAGAAUGCAUUUAAUGUUUAGACGACUUUCUGUGGGCCACAAUUUUGGUGGGCUUGAAAAUGGUCGUCAUUUUCAGAAUGUUGUGAUUCCAUUGAAGGCCUCAAUUUAUAUUUUGAAGGUUGGUUGUGGUUGCAGCUCUGAGGCAGAGAUUCAACAAUUAUGUGUGUCUCUCAUCAAGAUCCAGAGGCCUGGGGAUGUUAUUUCAACAAUUUUUGUUCAAUAUGUUACAGUUAGAACAAUCUAGUUCAUCCAUGAUGAGUGAAUAAGCUAGAAAAGGAUGUCGUUGACGGAUGUUGGUUGUCCUAUGACAAUGAUAUUGAUCUUUUCAUAGACAACACAUUCUCGAUAUGGUGCUAUAUAUCAGGUUUUGUAUGACUGUAGCUAUUGACUGUAAUCUGACCUACUUCAAACA